GUUGUGCAAUUGAGACACUGGACCACAAUACAAGUACGGAAAAUUGGAUUGGCACAAGCUUCUCGCUUGGAUGUUGGAAUCGCUCCAAGGAGCAAUGUGGAGGAAGGUAGGGCGGUAGUCACUUGUGACAGAAAAAUGCAGGAGCUCUGAGCAUAGCUGAGCAGGAUGAAUGACCCUCAGCUGCCCCAAAGCCUGAGGGACUGCUGGCUCACUGAUGGCUCUGUUCAUGACGUCCAGACACAGAUGCUGCAAAGGUUUCGCUGAGAGAAGGCUUGGCUUCCAGCGUGGCCCCUUGUAAAGCCCAAGAGAGCAGAGAGGAAAUGUCCACAGAUGGAGGUGCAGACAUCACCGUGUGGCUGUAAUAUGCACAGCAUUAUGAGGGAAGCAGCUGGAGAUCAUCUGAGUAUCCAAGGAGAAAAGUGGCUGCUGCAAAUGUGGCGUAGAGGGACGGAGACCGGCCAUGUGUGCACCAUCUUUGUUGGGAUUUAGGCAUCCUAUCAGUACCAGGACCAUACCAGGGUGUCCAUCUGGCCCUGCUGAGCUCUGUGGGAAAAACUGAUUAGAGCUAUCCAAUGGCAUCAGUCCCUGCCCAGCAGGGCUUUGUAACAGAAGUGGUCCAGUCCUGUUUUGUCUGACCCAUAAUUCAGUGGGGCCUCGGAGAUAGUGAUGGGCACGGGUGCUGGAGCCAAUACCCUGAUGAGAAUGUUUUUGUGCUGCAGAAGGAAACAGGGGUAACCCAAGGAAACAGAACGACCACCUUCAGAUCAAACCAGUGAUCAUCUUACUGAAAAGGCAAGCAUUCUAACCAUUCUUCCACCAUGUGGCCUCCGUUGCUGCACUAAUGCCUGUAAAAUGACCACUUGACAUUUCCCUUCUCCAACUAAAGACGGUGACGUGAUUGAUUCGGAGGGUCACGACAGGUCACCGUUAUGCAAAUUAUAAAUAAUAUGUAUACUGUUAAAAGGGAAAGUGAAUUGCUUCACGCAGAUUGUGUCCUUCUGAGGUUCUUCUGUGGCGUUCCGUGUCAGCAGAGUGUAAUUGACUCUUUACAUUAUCCAUUACAAUGGUCAGAGUUGAAAACCAAUGGUUCCAAGGUCAGCAGGAGGUCGUGAGCCAGGAUGAAAUGAUCACUUGGAUUUGGUCAGAAGACUUCCAUCUUCAUGGUUCACACAGAGUGAGAGUUAAAGUGUCUCCUCUUUAA